rnacentral:lncRNA from 1 species
AGUGUGUGGCAUUAAUAAGAACAAUGAAUGCAUGAAAAAGAGUUAAAGAACACUUAGGGGCCGUUUGGUUAGAUGUAAUUAUAACUGCAGUGCAGUUAGAGAUGCAUGUAGUUGGAAAUGCAGCAGCUAUAACUAUAUGAAUUUUGUUUGGUUGGAUGUAGUAGAAAGCGCUGUAAGUAUAAAUAAUUUAUUUGGUUGCAUGCAGUUGAGAAAUAAUUUUAAAAUUUUAUUAUUUUAUAUAUAUGAUGGUGAGAUUACCUCCAAUGUAAAAAAGAAAUAAAAUUUUUGUUUGAAAAAUAUUGAGGAGGUAAGCAUACCUUUUAUUUAAAGUUACUCUCUCCAACUGCUGUAAUUGGAACUAUAGCCAAUUUGGGCGUAGUUUGAACUGCUGCAGUUGGGCCUCCUCCUAGAGUUCCUACUGCAGCAGUUGGAGUUAAAUACAUCAAAUUAAACACGAAAUUUGCAUUUACAUGCAGUUACAACUACAA